rnacentral:tRNA from 1 species
GGAAUAUAGCUCAGUUGGUAGAGUGCUUGUCUCACAUGCACAAGGCCCUGGGUUCAAUCCCCAGCACCA